CACAGAAAAAAAUAUUAAUGGCAGAUUGUAAUAUGGAAGGAAAAUGUAACAGGACACUUGUUUUACAAUUUUCAUGUAUACCCAAUAGUUUUCAAGAAAAAUGCCUGGUCCAUAGAAAUGUGGGCACCCUGUAUAUCAAUGUUAGCAAGUUAGGCUUAGCAAUAUUUUAGGCUUCAAGCACUACCAAAAACAUUUUAAAUAUUUUCAAAAAAAUACAGGCUUAAAAUUAAAAUUUACUAACCUAGUAAUUAGAUAACAUAAUGUACUGUAAAACCAAAAAAUGAGAAUUACUCUUAAUUUUAUUAAUGAAAUAUAAAGUCCAAAACUUCUUACAGCAGAAAGAUCCUAAACACCAUUUGGAACAAUUAGAACAUUCUAUUCUGCCUAAAACUUUAAACAAAUAUAUAAAUAUACUCAUUAAACCCUCAAUAGAUGGCAGCAAAUUAAAAUAUGGGACACAAAUAGUUCAGAAACAUUUUAGUAGCACUUUCUCAAAAUUGCAAAAGUGGGACUAAAAUGUCCCUGUAUCUCAAAAAGGGUUUAGGCAAAUUUAGUAUGAAGAAAAUAUGCUUUUCCAAAAACAUUCAUAAUGUAUAGUUUAUAUUCAACAUUACUUUUGUUUUUAUAAUUCAUAAUUUUUUUUUUUUUUUUUUCCAACUUUUACACAGAUAAUUA
rnacentral:lncRNA from 1 species